GGGGGAUAACAGUUAGAAAUGACUGCUAAUACCGCAUAAAACAGCAGCACCGCAUGGUGCAACCGUCAAAGAUUUAUCGGUGUAAGAUGGACCCGCGUCUGAUUAGCCAGUUGGUGGGGUAACGGCCUACCAAAGCGACGAUCAGUAGCCGACCUGAGAGGGUGAUCGGCCACAUUGGGACUGAGACACGGCCCAAACUCCUACGGGAGGCAGCAGUGGGGAAUAUUGGACAAUGGGCGAAAGCCUGAUCCAGCGACGCCGCGUGAGCGAUGAAGUAUUUCGGUAUGUAAAGCUCUAUCAGCAGGGAAGAAAAUGACGGUACCUGACUAAGAAGCCCCGGCUAACUACGUGCCAGCAGCCGCGGUAAUACGUAGGGGGCAAGCGUUAUCCGGAUUUACUGGGUGUAAAGGGAGCGUAGACGGAAGUGCAAGUCAGAAGUGAAAGCCCGGGGCUUAACCCCGGGACUGCUUUUGAAACUGUGCAUCUAGAGUGCAGGAGAGGUAAGCGGAAUUCCUAGUGUAGCGGUGAAAUGCGUAGAUAUUAGGAGGAACACCGGUGGCGAAGG
rnacentral:rRNA from 1 species